GUGCAUGCCUUUCUCGUUUAGCCUCUGAUAAGGUUAUUGUUUACUUUUCUUCCUGAUUGUGUAUACAUCUACAAAGCUGAAUUAUCACAUAUUUUCAAUUUAUUUUAUAUCACUUGUUUGUUAAUCCUACAUUUCUGUGGCACCGAUAAGUUUUAGUUGAAUUAUCUUGCGUGCUCUUGUUGAAUCUUAUGUGGAUUUAAAUAUUAAGGUGUUUUCCACGCUCCGCACUCUCAGUUUUGUCAAGAGACAUCGCCUACAAUGUAGUUUUUUUUCCUUUUUUCCCAGAGCAGCUCACACUUUAGAAAUUAUGCCUCCAUACACGAAAAUCAAUGAAUUGAAAGUAGAAGAAAAACGGAGAUACACAAUCAUUAUCAUCCUCAAAUACUUUGUGAAGGCUCCAAAACUAACGCAGAAAGGCACUUACUAUCAUUCAAAAAUAGCUGUGACAGACGAAUCAGUUGCACCACAGGACUUCAAAGUUUCCAUUUUCUGCCCUCUAUCCAGGCACCCGCCAUUGCCUAUAAACAGUGUUCUCCGCAUUCAAGGAAUAAAGGUAGAAGCUUACAAAAGUAUAGUGGAUGGUAGAAUUUUCGGCUCUGAAAACAUAGAUAUCAUCAAUCCCUUUAAUCCAACUGCCAUUCGUAAAUUGGAUGAAGCUACAAAACAGAGAUUGUCGGAGUUGGUUUCAGCUUUUCCGUACUUUUUUGAUGAAUCAAGGUUAGCAUUAAAACCUAACAGGUCUUUGUUGAAUUCACAACUCAUCACAUUUGAACAAACACAAUUCAAGCUGUUCUCGGUCUCCACUGGUGAAAAUCAAACUUUAAUUGGAGUCAUCAAUGAAAUCAGGGACUGCACUUUAGAUGAAGACACAAAAAUGUGGAACUUUUCAAUCUUUAUCACUGAUAAUACACUCUAUCCCAGUUCACUGAGAGUUUUCGUCAAGUGCUCUUUUGAUUCAAUGCCAAAUUUAUCCAGAUAUGCGGUAAUUUAUUUACGUAAUGUGAAAGUUCAAAGAAGCCAGUAUAUAUUUGAAGCUCAUAUAGAAGAAGGUAAAGAUAUUUUGGAUCUCAACCUGGCAUGUGGCAGAUUGCUUUCUGAUCUGGAUGAAAAGAAACUUAGCACUCUUCCUGAUACAGGUAAUUAUCGCUUCUCAUAAGUCAGCAAUCUGCACUAAUCAGAUAAUAGAUCACUUAAUAAGGUAUGAAUGAAGUAUUCUGGAACGUGUUUCAAGUAAUUACAUAUUUCUCUUUUAGUUGUAUGUAAAACAGAUGUACGCAACACAAAUUACUAAAACCAAUUCCUGACUAAGAUAUAAACAUUAUUAUUUAGCAACGGUUACGUAAAUUGAAUUUCCAGCUCACAAGAAAAUCCAGAGUCUACGCGAAUCAAAAGGCAGAAUACAACGAUUUUGGUCGAUUGAGCAGUAUUCCUUCCCAACCCUGUGUUGUUCAAAGAGUAAAGGACGAGCAAAGACUGAGCCUAAGCGCUGAGCUAGGAAUGCUAUAUUUUCAUAUUUUAGAGUCUAUUACACCAUCGUUCAGUGUGCGAUUAAAUCAAGUAGUUUAGGUUUUUUUUUCAUGAAUAGGAAGUUUGAAUCUAUACAUAAAAAACGUGUAGAUCUUAAUUAGGAGUUACAAUCAAUAAUUCUGUCGCAUAAAUCAAGUUUGGUAUGAAAGAGGUUGUUCCAUCCCCCAUUAGAUUUGGCCCCCUAUCAAAUAUGAUCCAUCUUUUCAGGAGUGAUACAGUAGC
rnacentral:lncRNA from 1 species